CCGCCCUCCUUGGCCCAGCUGCCACCCGCAUCCGGAGAGACCAGUCCCUGGGCACAAUGGGGACCCAGACCCCUGUGGGAUCGCCUCCUCUGGGGCACAAAUGGGAAACUGAGGCCCAGAGAGGAGAAAUAACGUGCACCAGAUCACACAGCUUGUCCACAGGGGAGCCAGGAUUGGAACCCAUGUCUGCGUGGCUCCCAAGUUCCGAACGUCGCUCAGAUACGUCAGCAGACCAUGCGGUUCUCAGUGGCCUAAGGCAAAAUUGAAGGAAAUAAGGACAGUGUGGUGACUUUUUCAUAAAGCUAAAUGUAUGCCACUUAAAGGCGUUUUAGUAUGAGAUUAUGUCCUUUCUUUUAUGAAAUGAUGGGGCUGGGAAUUUUUUUCAAAUGUCCUUACUUGGCAAAAUACAAAGUUGACAACCA